CAGAUGAAGCCUUAAUUACGUCACCAUGAAUGGUUUCAUCCCAGUCAACAUUAUAUAAGGGGGAGGUGGCUCUAGACAAAAUGGAGAUGUGCGCCUCUCGACUUUUGCAUCAAUGCUGAGGUCCAACCUUUCAAUCAAAUGAACUCCAUCAGCAUGUAUUCCUCCAAGAAAAUGAGUGAUUUAAGCAGAGCUGCCGUUCAAACAGUUCUGGUCCAUCACAACCACGCCUGUGGCGCAGCUGUGUUCACUCCCACCCAACUGAAGGUCCUCUGUGAAGGUCAUUUUUCCGCUCAGAGACUCAAGUCUCUCACCUUCAAGUCGUCUGUGGAGGAUCCUAACCAAGAUGGUGGGCAUGCCACAAACCUGCACAAAGACGUCACUUCUGGAGAGAGCGUUCAGAUGAACGGCCCACUCACUGAGGUCGCUGGUGUUGGCUCAGAUGUGAAGAGGAGGUUCGAUAGUGUGACAGAGGCCCUCACAGAGAACAUCAUCAGCAUGAACAACAUGGUGGCCAAGCAGACGGCGAGUUAUCUGGACAUAGAGGCGGAGUGGACCACAAUGCAGAGGGCAGCAGAGAUGUUGCAGCAGGAGCUCCAGAAGAAAAUUAACCAGUUCAAAAAGGAGCUUUCAGCCGAACUGAAAUCCCUGGGGACUGAGAUCUCCUACAUCAGUGAUGAGCUGAAGGAGGCGUCUGUGUCAUUGCAUGACCUCUGCCUAAUGUUUGAUGAAGAUGAGCAGAGCUCUGAUCUCAAUACAAAUGACAAGGAUGAGGAGUCGUCUUCAAGCAGCUCCCAGGAUGAUGAGGAUGAGGAAGAAACCGGGCAGGAGUCGGAGCCAGAGGAUUUAGAAGAAUAUGAGCAAGAAGUUGUGGAGGAGGAAGAGAGGUUUGACCUGAAGGAGUUUGAGAGGGAGCACCAGCAGCAAGAGCAGGUUGAAGUCUUGGAGGAGCUUGAGAAGGAGCAAGAGGAGGUGGAUGAGGUUGAAGAGAAGAAAUGACUGAUCCCUCAGCAGCCACUUCAUGAGCCUUCCUGCUGUGGGAUCGUUCUAAGGUCCCACCACGCAUGAUCCCGUUGACCGAAGACCAUGACCGCAUGUACACCGUGCUGAAAGAGUCUGGACUGGACUACGUGGCUGUGAUGCCUCCCCACAUUGGCGACAAUCUCCCGCUCA